AUGAUGACGAGGAACCACGGUUCCGAAGUGAUUGAUACCAAGCUUCCAGGAAAAGCCACUAAGCUUCAGUCUAGAGUUGACCGUACCGCAAACCGACACAGGUGGGCAGGAUGAAAAUUCUAAGGCGCUUGAGAGAACUCAGGAGAAGGAACUCGGCAAAUUAACACCGUAACUUCGGGAGAAGGUGUGCCCCGGUAGCGUGUAGAGACUUGCUCUCGAAACGCGAUGGGGUUGCAGUGAAAUGGUGGCUGCGACUGUUUAAUAAAAACACAGCACUCUGCAAACACGAAAGUGGACGUAUAGGGUGUGACGCCUGCCCGGUGCCGGAAGGUUAAGUGAUGGGGUGCAAGCUCUUGAUCGAAGCCCCGGUAAACGGCGGCCGUAACAAUAACGGCCCUAAGGUAGCGAAAUUCCUUGUCGGGUAAGUUCCGACCUGCACGAAUGGCGUAACGAUGGCCACACUGUCUCCUCCUGGGACUCAGCGAAGUUGAAAUGUUUGUGAAGAUGCAAUCUACCCGCGGCUAGACGGAAAGACCCCAUGAACCUUUACUGUAGCUUUGCAUUGGACUUUGAACCGGUUUGUGUAGGAUAGGUGGGAGACUGUGAAGCCGGGACGCUAGCUUCGGUGGAGUCAACCUUGAAAUACCACCCUGAUUUGUUUGAGGUUCUAACCUUGGUCCGUGAAUCCGGAUCGGGGACCGUGCAUGGUAGGCAGUUUGACUGGGGCGGUCUCCUCCCAAAAGGUAACGGAGGAGUACGAAGGUACGCUUAGGGCGGUCGGACAUCGCCCACAAAGUGCAAUGGCAAAAGCGUGCUUGACUGCGAGACCCACAAGUCGAGCAGGUACGAAAGUAGGUCAUAGUGAUCCGGUGGUUCUGUAUGGAAGGGCCAUCGCUCAACGGAUAAAAGGUACUCUGGGGAUAACAGGCUAAUUCCUCCCAAGAGUUCAUAUCGACGGGGGAGUUUGGCACCUCGAUGUCGGCUCAUCACAUCCUGGGGCUGUAGUCGGUCCCAAGGGUAUGGCUGUUCGCCAUUUAAAGUGGUACGCGAGCUGGGUUUAAAACGUCGUGAGACAGUUUGGUCCCUAUCUGCCGUGGGCGCUGGAAAUUUGAAGGGGGCUGCUCCUGGUACGAGAGGACCGGAGUGGACGAACCUCUGGUGUACCGGUUAUGACGCCAGUCGUAUCGCCGGGUAGCUAAGUUCGGAAGAGAUAAACGCUGAAAGCAUCUAAGCGUGAAACUCGCCUUAAGAUAAGAUUUCCCGGAGUCUUGAACUCCCUGAAGGGUCGUCGAAGACCACGACGUUGAUAGGUCAGGUGUGGAAGCGCAGCAAUGCGUUAAGCUAACUGAUACUAAUUGCCCGUGCGGCUUGAUCCU
rnacentral:rRNA from 1 species